UCUCCUGAUGAAAAAAAUUUGCGAUUGAUACCUUUGGGUGGCUCUCUUUCGCCGGAGUAGCUAUACUCACUGGACAAGUGAAAUUCAAUUUCUUACAUAUUCUGAAC
rnacentral:snoRNA from 1 species